UCACACACUAGGAAUGUUAUAAAGCGCCUAUAUAGGACAGUUUCUUUUUUAUUUUAUCUGACUUUAUAAACUCCCAACAACAAUGUGCUUCUAUUUUUUUUUUCAGGCUAAAUCUACCCAAGACACUGGCUGUCAGACUGAUUUAGCUGCAAGAAUGCACUUGUCCAGGCUGAUGUGAAGCUUUACCGGCAUAGCAAAGCCAGCCAGAAGAGCUCACAGCCGCAGUGUGUCUUGUGACACAAGGAUCAUGACGGAAAUUCAUCUUCCAGAAAGUCAGAGCAGCGUCCACACCCCCUGAAAAGACCACGAUGUGAGGUGUCUGCUGUUGAUUCCAGCUUCCACCUCAGUGACAGUGCAAGCUCAGUGAACUGUUCAAGGUAAAAAAAUUAAAACAUUUCAGAAUUUUUAAGAUAUUAACAAUUAAAUAAGUAUGUGAUUACAUCAUGACAUCAUGAAGGAGGCUACUGAUUCUGGCCCUGUGACACUUGGUGGUGACGUGUGAGCUGAUUCACCUGGUAAAUAACUUUUACAUUAAAUAUUUUGUUUUUGCUAUCAAAAGUAAAUUAACUAAUAACCUGCAUUAUUGCAGGACACAGCAAAAUAUGGACUCUACACCAUGAGGCAGGCACACGUUAAUACAAGAGCACAUAAGCAUGAGGAUGUCCUCACACACCUGUAACCUAUCAGCUCAUCUGGCAGAAUAGAGAGAGAAGAGAAGAGACAACACCACAUCUCCUGUUCCUGGAAAGCCUUCAGCCAUCCUUCGAUGACUGAGAACCUCCAUCAGCUCUGUCUCCUGUCUGCCUACAAUUAUUACAAUAAAUAUUGUGUUUGACAAGUUUUUUGUGCUGCCAAAUAUCUCAUUUUGAUUCCAGUUUUGAUAUUUUAAUGGAUAUUUAUAAAUUACAUUAAUUGAAUUAUCACAUUGUCGUAUGUUUAACUAGCUAUUGUGAUUAAUUAAACUAGCACCUCACUGUUAAAAGCUUGUUUUAAUUUCAAGCAUGUUUAAGUAUUUAAGGACAUGAACAAAAAUAGGAAAUAUAUCAAUUGAGAUUUAUUUAAUUAAUAUAACAAAUAAGGGGGAAAGAGUCAUUGAAAGGCACAUUCUUCUGGAAGCUCCUGAUCCUGACGACACCAGAGACCAGCUGCAGACACCAGAGGACCUAGAACCGAGAGAGUAGCUGUUAUUAGUAAAUAAAUAAUGAAAUCAGGGCAGUUUUAGUGGGCUGAACACAUUACAUAAUAAUUUUCUCAUGGGAUAUUUUCAUAACUUUAUGCAGCAGACUGUAACUUAAGCCCAAGGCUCCUGGAGACCUGCUAUCCAGCACGUUUCAGUGGUUUUCCUGCUUUAACAGGUUGGAUUAGCUGUUAAGCAGCUCAGCUAUUUGUUGCUGAUUAAAGCCAGGUGUGUUGAAGCAGAUAAACCUCUAACACAUGCUGAAUACUAGCUCUAGGGCCGUGGAGACAAACCCUGCAGCUAAUCUGAUGCUAUGGCUAACGGCUACUUACAUUCAGAGAUGGUUCUGUUGGGUCGGUUCCUGGAGUUUCAGGCAACUCACAAGCUCAAAACAAUAAGGCUCAGGUCCGCUUGUCUCCUCCAAUUAGACUUGGUCCCUUUCUUCUCGAGUGUCUGUGUAAGGAGGGGGAGAAACGUCCUCCACUUCUAAUGACUGCUCAGAGUGAAGGGAGCUAGCUUCGUCUAGUUAGCCGUCGUCUUCGUCACUGCCGCGGCUCCGCCCUCUCGGUCCUCCAGGCAACGCCUACUAAUGUUGCAGUUUUUAAAAUUGAUACGUGGGUGGAGUAAGACUCUGAGGGGGAAGUAGGGAUGGGGACCUUUGACAUUUGAAUCGAUCCGGUACUAAUUCCCGGUACCUACGAGUCGAUACCGGUACUUAACGGUACCAAUUUUCGAUACUUUUGAGUAUUAUUUUAAUCCUCUUUUAUAAUUAAAUAUAUUUUUUUCUCAAUAUAUAACCAUAUUUGAUAAAUAUCACGAUAAAUAUCAUACAAGUUUGUAUUUUAACAUCGUCCUUGUAGUUUUAUAAGCUGAUAAUUAAAAUGAAGCAAACAUCUUUACUGUGAACUAAAUUUACUGUGUAUCUUCAUUCCUUUUGCCGUCCUUUUUCAUUUGAUUUUUCCUACUGGGAAGUUAGAAUUUCCGAGGAGAAAGCGAACGCACCAUUAGCUGAUAACGGUGGCAAUGGAAGCUAACAUAUCAAGCUAAUGUUAUCUUUAACAGUUUAUUUAGCUGCUGGAGCAGAUUAAAACGAUGAUGCCUCAAACUUAGAUCGUUGUCACUGGUUUUACCUUCACCCAAUCACCCGUCGCAUUUAGUAAAGUAAAGCCAAACUUUAGAGCGCGUUCAUGUUCUUCUAGUCGGAAAUUCGGAGUUCCGAGGAGAAAGCGAACGCACCAUUAGCGAAACGGAAGCUAACAAAUCAAGGUAACGUUAUCUUAAACAUUUUAUUUACCUACUGGAGCAGAUUAAGAUGAGGAUGUCUCACUUAGAUCGUUGUCUGUCGCUAGUUUCAUCACCCAGUUACCCAUCACAUUUAGUGAAGUGGACCCAAGUUUUAGCGUGCGUUCUUUCUACCAUGCUUGCUCUGUUUACAACGGGCUCGCAGGGACCGGCGACAUAACGCUCUUGCGCAUGCGCUACUGUCUUGGCAGUACCGAAACGAGGCACCGUUUGAAAUGACGUGAAUCGGUGUUCGGUCGGUACUAUGGAAUUCGGUCGGUACCUUAAAAAGUACCGAAUUCGGUACUCAUCC